rnacentral:rRNA from 1 species
CAGCCGUAAACUAUGCGCGUUAGGUGUAUCGGUGACCACGAGUUACCGAGGUGCCGAAGGGAAACCGUGAAACGCGCCGCCUGGGAAGUACGGUCGCAAGGCUGAAACUUAAAGGAAUUGGCGGGGGAGGCACCACAACAGGUGGAGCCUGCGGUUUAAUUGGACUCAACGCCGGGAAGCUCACCGGAUAGGACAGCAGAAUGAUUGCCGGGCUGAAGACCCUGCAUGACUAGCUGAGAGGAGGUGCAUGGCGUAGACGUCU